rnacentral:rRNA from 1 species
UGGGAUUUACUGGGUGUAAAGGGAGCGCAGGCGGAGCGGCAAGUCUGAUGUGAAAGCCCGGGGCUCAACCCCGGUACUGCAUUGGAAACUGUCGUACUAGAGUGUCGGAGGGGUAAGUGGAAUUCCUAGUGUAGCGGUGAAAUGCGUAGAUAUUAGGAGGAACACCAGUGGCGAAGGCGGCUUACUGGACGAUAACUGACGCUGAGGCUCGAAAGCGUGGG